CAUGUAGGGCGCGAGCGUUGUCCGGAAUUAUUGGGCGUAAAGAGCUCGUAGGCGGCCUGUUGCGUCCGCUGUGAAAGCCCGGGGCUUAACCCCCGGGUCGGCAGUGGAUACGGGCAGGCUAGAGGUAGGUAGGGGGAGAAUGGAAUUCCCGGUGUAGCGGUGAAAUGCGCAGAUAUCGGGAGGAACACCGGUGGCGAAGGCGGUUCUCUGGGCCUUACCUGACGCUGAGGAGCGAAAGCGUGGGGAGCGAAACAG
rnacentral:rRNA from 1 species